rnacentral:rRNA from 1 species
UCCGGUUGAUCCCGCCGGACCUGACUGCUAUCGGAUUGAUACUAAGCCAUGCGAGUCUUUGCAGUAAUGCAAGGCAUACGGCUCAGUAACACGUAGUCAACUUACCCUAUGGACGAGGAUAAUCUCGGGAAACUGAGCAUAAUACUCGAUAGAUCAUAAUGCCUGGAAUGGUUUAUGGUUGAAAUGAUUCGUCGCCAUAGGAUAGGACCGCGGCCUAUCAGCUUGUUGGUGAGGUAAUGGCCCACCAAGGCGAUUACAGGUACGGGCUCUGAGAGGAGAAGCCCGGAGAUGGGUACUGAGACAAUGACCCAGGCCCUAUGGGGCGCAGCAGGCGAGAAAACUUUGCAAUGUGCGAAAGCACGACAAGGUUAAUCCGAGUGAUUUCUGCUAAAGAAAUCUUUUGCAAGUCAUAAAACCACUAGUGAAUAAGGGGUGGGCAAGUUCUGGUGUCAGCCGCCGCGGUAAAACCAGCACCUCAAGUGGUCAGGAGGAUUAUUGGGCCUAAAGCAUCCGUAGCCGGCUCUGUAAGUUUUCGGUUAAAUCCAUGUGCUCAACGCAUGGGCUGUCGAAAAUACUGCAUAGCUAGGGAGUGGGAGAGGUAGACGGUACUCGGUAGGAAGGGGUAAAAUCCUUUGAUCUAUCGAUGACCACCUGUGGCGAAGGCGGUCUACCAGAACACGUUCGACGGUGAGGGAUGAAAGCUGGGGGAGCAAACCGGAUUAGAUACCCGGGUAGUCCCAGCUGUAAACGAUGCAGACUCGAUGAUGCAUUGGCAUAUAGCCAGUGCAGUGUCGCAGGGAAGCCGUUAAGUCUGCCGCCUGGGAAGUACGUACGCAAGUAUGAAACUUAAAGGAAUUGGCGGGGGAGCACCACAAGGGGUGAAGCCUGCGGUUCAAUUGGAGUCAACGCCGGG